UACGUAGGGGGCGAGCGUUGUCCGGAAUCAUUGGGCGUAAAGCGCGUGUAGGCGGCCCGGUAAGUCCGCUGUGAAAGUCCAGGGCUCAACCCUGGGAUGCCGGUGGAUACUGUCGGGCUCGAGUCCGGAAGAGGCGAGUGGAAUUCCUGGUGUAGCGGUGAAAUGCGCAGAUAUCAGGAGGAACACCCAUGGCGAAGGCAGCAAACUGGGCAUCAUCUGACGCUGAGGCGCGAAAGCGUGGGUAGCAAACAGG
rnacentral:rRNA from 1 species